rnacentral:rRNA from 1 species
AGCGGCGGACGGGUGAGUAACGCGUAGGAAUCUACCCAGUAGCGGGGGAUAGCCCGAGGAAACUCGGAUUAAUACCGCAUACGCCCUAAGGGGGAAAGGGGGGGAACUCUUCGGAGAUCACUAUUGGAGGAGCCUGCGUUGGAUUAGCUAGUUGGUAGGGUAAAGGCCUACCAAGGCGACGAUCCAUAGCUGUUCUGAGAGGAAGAUCAGCCACACUGGAACUGAGACACGGUCCAGACUCCUACGGGAGGCAGCAGUUGGGAAUAUUGCACAAUGGGCGCAAGCCUGAUGCAGCCAUGCCGCGUGUGUGAAGAAGGCCUUAGGGUUGUAAAGCACUUUCAGUAGGGAGGAAUCAACCAAACUAAUACUUUGGUGAAAUGACGUUACCUACAGAAGAAGAUCCGGCUAACUCCGUGCCAGCAGCCGCGGUAAUACGGAGGGAUCAAACGUUAAUCGGAAUUACUGGGCGUAAAGCGCGCGUAGGUGGUUUUUUAAGUGGGAUGUGAAAGCCCCGGGCUUAACCUGGGAACUGCAUUCCAAACUGGAGAACUAGAGUACGAUAGAGGGGGGUAGAAUUCAGAGUGUAGCGGUGAAAUGCGUAGAUAUUCUGAGGAUACCGGGGGCGAAGGCGGCCCCCUGGCAUGAUACUGACACUGAGUGCGAAGGCGUGGGGAGCCAACCAGAUUAGAUACCUGGGUAGUCCACGCGGU